rnacentral:rRNA from 1 species
CCUUUGUACACACCGCCCGUCGCUACUACCGAUUGAAUGGCUCAGUGAGGCUUUCGGAUUGGCCCAGAGAGGUCGGCAACGACCACUCAGAGCCGGAAACUUGGUCAAACUUGGUCAUUUAGAGG